AGCUCUGUGACCUUCAGAAAAUGACCUCCCUGGGCCUCAGUCUCUUCACUGGUAAACUAGAGACUUGAAACAAAACAAAACAAACUCCCUUGCAGGGUAGUUGUGAGAUUCCAGGGAGAAAAUGCAUGUAUGAUGCCUGGCACAGGGUAAGAACUCAGUACGUGUCAGUGUUGGGCAAGUUAACCUCUUGGUGCCUCAGUUUCCCCAUCUCUAAAAUGGGUAUACGAAGCAGUAUUUGCCUUCUGUGGCUGCUGUAAAGGUUAAACGAGGCCUCAGGCACUGCCUGGGCACACAGUGAGCAUUCAGGACAUGUCAGCUGUCACUGCGAUUGGGUUUACUAUUCCCAUCUGUCCCCCCCAACCCCCGCUCUCCCCAGCUCCAACUGCGGUCCCUGUCCUUCUUUCUAGAAAUGCACUCAGAUCCUUUGUCUAUUGCUUUGCUCCCCUCCAGGAUGCGGAGGGAGGGGGCUGCAGUGGUUCAGUGUGGUUCGUUGCUGUUAUUUGUGUGUGACUUUUGUUUUGCAUAUACAGUGUGAAGAUGCUACACUAAGUCUUUUUCACCUCUGUCUUCUUCGUUAGGCAGGGAAUUUCUCCUCCUCUUGCUGUCAGAACUUGCUCAUCCUCCUGUAGGCUUCCUGGCUGCUCCAACCCUCCCUGCUCUCCUUUUCCCUUUGAACCCACGGCCUGCAGCACCGUCUAGAUUUGCUGCUGGGAUCUUCCUUCUCAGUUGGAUGGCAGUCGUUCUCCUGGGUGAGGCAGCCCCACGUGGCGGACGAGCAUGAAGGCUCUGGAGACAGGCCACCUGGGUCUGCAGACUGUCACUGCUGAUGGUAUGACUUCAAGCUGUUUGCCUAACUUCUCUGCCUCAGCUCCUUCACUGGUAAAAUGGGUGUUAUGGACUGAGUGUGUCUUCCCCAAGUCCAUAUACUGAAGCACUAACCCUCAGUGUGGCUGUAUUUGGAGAGGGGGCCUCUAAGGAAGGAACUGAGGGUAAGUGAGGUCAUAAGGGCGAGGCCCUGAUCUGAUAGCUUAGCAUCCUUAGAAGAGACAGCAGAUCUAGCUAGCACACAUGCUUUCUCUCCCUUUCUCUCUCUCUCUCCCCUCCUCCUGGUACCCACACUGGGGAAAGGGCCUAUGGAAACAUAAUGAGCCAGGAAGAGAGCUCUCACCAGGAACCACAUUUGCCAGCACCUUAAUCUGGGACUCCUCACCUCCAAAACAGGGCAGAGAGGAUGAAAGGCAUCGCCUCCCGGGCUGCACACUGAGCCUGGAAAUCAAACCCAAGAGGUCUGUGCCCCCGGGCACCUCUGCUCAGCUGGGACGGAGGGCCAGGUCCUGCACCAGCUCUGGUGGUGGCACAUCCACGCCUCUAGUAAGCGGCCGUUGGGAAGGCGUCCCGCAAAAGGGCUCCCAGUGCAUGCGCAGUUCACAGAGCCCGAGGAUGCUUUUGACAGCUCCCGAGCGGCAGGUCUCUGCUCAAAUGUCAGAGAAGCUUUACCUGAUUGUACCAAGUAAAAGAGCCCUUGGGACCGUUUCCUCCGACUCUGCUGGUCUCUCUUUGGAGCACUUUAUCUGACAUUUUAUAUUUAGUUGUUUAUGGUCUGCUUCCCCAGCUGGCAGGCCAAUGCCUCCAGGGUGGGGAGCUUGCUGUGUUUUGUUUGCCACUGAAUCCGCAGCAUUUAGAGUAAGGUCUGGCAAAAGCUAAAUUCUCUAUAAAUCUCCAUUGCUUGUGGGAACUGACCCCUUAUUUACGGAUGCCACUGCAGUCUUGGAGCAGAAAGGGAUCUGACUUUGUUCCCUAAACCCCAUCAUCUGACUACCCGUGCAGGCGCUGGGCCUUGCACUGGACUCCUGCAUCCUGUACCUCUCCCCAGCCCUGGACAGCCUCCCUGGGGAGCUGCACGAGGCCGCGCUUCAGAUUCUGACAAAGGCUCCCCGCACCAGCAAGCAAUAUGUUUUCACUUGUGUUCUUAACUUCUCCAUCAUGUAACAUGGUUUCAAUUCUGCUGAGGUGCCCUCGGGGCUUCUGGCAUUGGGGACAUUUUGGAAAAAAAUGUAGAGAAUAAAAACAAACUGGCUUCCCUGAGUAGCUCCAGCUGGUAAUUAAGAUCCUUUUCCAAGAGGUGCGACUUUGACUUUGGGGCCAGCGAGGAACAGCAGAGGGGGUGAGAUUCUGAAGACAUGUGCCUGAACACACACUGGUCCCCCAAAAUUACCUGGCUCUGAGCCUGAGGUUCAACUAAGAUGGACAAAGCUCCUACUAUGGGUCUGCCGGUUUUCCUGCAUAAGAGCUUCAAACUCGUGUUAUCUGCCUGUGGUUUGGUAUCUUUGCUGGUGUGUCCCAGGUGCUCAUGACAAAAGGAUGGAUUCUCCGAUCUUCCCUAGGCUGCUCAUCGCAGAGAAUGGCACUGUCGCCUGAGUCAGGCCCAGCCUAGGAGUCCCCCUCGACCCCCUCUCUGCCUCACCCCCCACGUCUAACCUGUCAGCAAGUGCUCUCAGCUUUGGCGCCAUCCCGAAGCCCGCAU